rnacentral:lncRNA from 1 species
UAACAAAAAAAUAUAAUUCGUAACAUCCACAUCAAUAAUGUAUGAUUCUUAAUGGCCCAAAAUAAAAUAUUUCGAACUUGAAUCCUUAAUAAAACUAUCAACCAUGAGGGUCAAUCACUUUCAUUCACGUCGUUAGAGUCAUCAUCACAUUCAUCCUCAUAAGCUUGGUUGUCUUCUUGAGAUGGGCGUUCAUCAUUUGAAGAUGAUUUCUUGUAUACAUGCUUCAUCAACAAAUCCAAUUCCUUUCUCAUCCUCCUUCCACAAUUGAUGCACUAUGAGCAACUAAUAUUUCAUGUUUCUUUCUUUCAAACUCAUUCUGCAUAAGAAUAUGUUAAUUCAAGCCAUAAAAAGUGCUAAAAAUACAUUAUUAGCAUAAAUUAUAUGACAUUAUAGUAUCAAAUAAAAUCAUAACAAUCGACAAAUAUAAAUAUAUAUAUAUUAGCAUAUAAAGCAUCAAACUCAAAGUUGAUAUUUUCAAAUUAUUGUGACUAUCGUUAUGACUUGUUAUAUUAAGAUAACGUAGGAUGAAAUUAGAAGAAUAAGAGAACAAGAGGAAGGAUUCAAGUGGUGCCACGUAUCUAACACUUAAUGUGAAGAAAACUCUUUUCUUAUUUCUUAAAGCUCCGUACCCGGUCAAAUGGAUUAUACAAGGUACACUACAAUGGAUUAUACAUUGUCAAGGUACACUGCAAUGAAAAUUUUUUCAUAUAACCAAACAUAUUUAUUUUGUAACUAUACUUUAUUAUUUUCAAGUUAUUAGUACACAUUUCAAGUGACUAUUACUUAACCAUUUUUAAGUCAUAAGUUCACAAUUUCAUGUAACUACACUUAACCAUUUUCAAGUCACGAGUUCGCAAAUUCAAGUAACUACACUUAAUCAUUUUCAAGUCACUACACUUAAUAAUUUUCAAAUAACUUAUUCACAAUUCAAAUCACCAUUACACAUUUCAAGUCACUACACUCGAACCAUUUUCGAAUAGCUAAUUGACAUUUCAAGUCACCAUACUUAACCAUUUUCAAGAAACUACACUUCACCAUUUUCAAGUCACUAGUACACAUUUCAAGUCACUACACUUGACCAUUUUCAAGUAACUAAUUCACAUUUCAAGUCACUAUACUUAACCAUUUUCAAGUCACUAGUACACGUUUCAAAUCACUACACUUAAUCAUUUUCAAAUAAUUAAUUCACAUUUCAAGUCACUAUACUUAACCAUUUUUAAGUAACUACUUUACAUUUCAAAUAACUAUACUCAACCAUUUUCAAGUCACUAUACUUAAUCAAUUUCAAGUAACUAAUUCACAUUUCAAGCAACUACACUUUAACCAUUUAAGUCACUAGUAUGCAUUUCAAGUCAUUAUACUUAACCAUAUUUUCAAGUAACUACACUUAACUAUUUUCAAGUCACUACAAUUAAUCAUUCAUUUCAAGUCACUAUACUUAACCACUUUCAAGUAACUAAUUCACAUUUCAAGUAAUUACACUUAACCAUUUUCAAGUCACUAGUACACAUUUCAAGUCACUAUACUUAACCAUAUUUUCAAGUAACUACACUUAACUAUUUUGAAGUCACUAGUACACAUUUCAAGACAUUACACUUAACCAUUUUAAAGUCACUAGUAUACAUUUCAAGACACUACAUUUAAUUAUUUUCAAGUCACAAGUUUACAAUUUCAAGUCACUAAUUCACUUCUCAAGUGACCACACUUUACUAAAUUCAAAACACAAGUUAACCUUUCAAGUACCUAAACUUAAACGUUUUCAAGUGACCACACUUUAGCAAAUUCAAAACACAAGUUCACCUUUCAAGUAACUAAACUUAAAACAUUUUCGAGUUACUAAAUCACUUCUCAAGUGACCACACUUUAGUAAAUUCAAAACACAAGUUCACAUUUCAAUUACCUACAUUUAAAUAUUUUCAAGUCACUAUUUCACUACUCAAGUGACCACACUUUAGUAAAUUUAAAACAUAAGUUCACCUUUCAAGUACCUAAACUUAAUUAUUUUAGAGUUACUAAAUCACUUCUCAAGUGACCACACUUUAGUAAAUUUAAAACAUAAGUUCACCUUUCAAGUACCUAAACUUAAUUAUUUUCGAGUUACUAAAUCACUUCUCAAGUGACCACACUUUACUAAAUUCAAAACACAAGUUCACAUUUCAAGUACCUAAACUUAAAACAUUUUCGAGUUACUAAAUCACUUCUCAAGUGACCACACUUUAGUAAAUUCGAAACACAAGUUUACAUUUCAAGUACCUACAUUUGAAUAUUUUGAAGUCAAUAAUUCACUUCUCAAGUGACCACACUUUACUAAAUUCAAAACACAAGUUAACCUUUCAAGUACCUAAACUUAAACGUUUUCAAGUCACUAUUUCACUUCUCAAGGAGUUACUAAAUCACUUCUCAAGUGACCACACUUUAGUAAAUUCGAAAUACAAGUUUACAUUUCAAUUACCUACACUUGAACAUUUUGAAGUCAAUAAUUCACUUCUCAAGUGACCACACUUUAGUAAAUUCAAAACACAAGUUCACCUUUUAAGUAUCUAAACUUAAUUAUUUUCGAGUUACUAAAUCACUCCUCAAGUUACCACACUUUUGCAAAUUCAAAACACAAGUUCACAUUUCAAGUACCUAAACUUAAACAUUUUCAAGUCACUAUUUCACUUUCGAAACACAAAUUUACAUUUCAAGUACCUACACUUGAACAUUUUGAAGUCAAUAAUUCACUUUCAAGUGACCAAACAUUACUAAAUCCAAAACACAAGUUCAUAUAUCAAGUAUGUACACCUAAACAUUUCAAGUCACUAAUUCACUUCACAAGUGACCAAACUUAACUAAAUAUAGCCUUAACAUUAAAAAAUACAACAACAACAACAUGCCCAGUAUAUUCUCACCAAGUGGGGUCUGAGAAGGGCAAGUAUACGCAGUUCUAUAUCACUAC